GACGAACGCUGGCGGCGUGCUUAACACAUGCAAGUCGAACGGAAAGGCCCUGCUUGCAGGGUACUCGAGUGGCGAACGGGUGAGUAACACGUGGGUGAUCUGCCCUGCACUUCGGGAUAAGCCUGGGAAACUGGGUCUAAUACCGGAUAGGAGCCAUUUUUAGUGUGAUGGUUGGAAAGUUUUUUCGGUGUAGGAUGAGCUCGCGGCCUAUCAGCUUGUUGGUGGGGUAAUGGCCUACCAAGGCGGCGACGGGUAGCCGGCCUGAGAGGGUGGACGGCCACAGUGGGACUGAGAUACGGCCCAGACUCCUACGGGAGGCAGCAGUGGGGAAUAUUGCACAAUGGGCGCAAGCCUGAUGCAGCGACGCCGCGUGGGGGAGGACGGACUUCGGGUUGUAAACUCCUUUCGCUAGGGACGAAGCUUUUUGUGACGGUACCUAGAGAAGAAGCACCGGCUAACUACGUG
rnacentral:rRNA from 1 species